rnacentral:rRNA from 1 species
AUUGAACGCUGGCGGCAGGCCUAACACAUGCAAGUCGAACGAGUGGCGGACGGGUGAGUAAUGUCUGGGAAACUGCCUGAUGGAGGGGGAUAACUACUGGAAACGGUAGCUAAUACCGCAUACCAUCGGAUGUGCCCAGAUGGGAUUAGCUAGUAGGUGGGGUAAAGGCUCACCUAGGCGACGAUCCCUAGCUGGUCUGAGAGGAUGGCCGACCACACUGGAACUAGGACACGGUCCAGACACCGACGUGAGGGAGCAGUGGGGAAUAUUGAACAAUGGGAGCAAGCCUGAUGCAGCCAUGCCGCGUGUAUGAAGAAGGCCUUCGGGUUGUAAAGUACUUUCAGCGGGGAGGCGUUACCCGCAGAAGAAGCACCGGCUAACUCCGUGCCAGCAGCCGCGGUAAUUC